rnacentral:rRNA from 1 species
UGAGGAAUAUUGGUCAAUGGACGAGAGUCUGAACCAGCCAAGUAGCGUGCAGGAUGACGGCCCUAUGGGUUGUAAACUGCUUUUGUUUGGGAAUAAUCGACAUUACGUGUAAUGUUUUGCAUGUACCAUUCGAAUAAGGACCGGCUAAUUCCGUGCCAGCAGCCGCGGUAAUACGGAAGGUCCAGGCGUUAUCCGGACUUAUUGGGUUUAAAGGGAGUGUAGGCGGUUGGUUAAGCGUGUUGUGAAAUGUAGAUGCUCAACAUCUGACUUGCAGCGCGAACUGGCUGACUUGAGUACACACAACGUAGGCGGAAUUCAUGGUGUAGCGGUGAAAUGCUUAGAUAUCAUGAAGAACUCCGAUUGCGAAGGCAGCUGACGGGAGCGGCACUGACGCUUAAGCUCGAAGGUGCGGGUAUCAAACAGG